rnacentral:rRNA from 1 species
GUACACUCCUACGGGAGGCAGCAGUGGGGAAUAUUGGACAAUGGGCGCAAGCCUGAUCCAGCCAUGCCGCGUGAGUGAUGAAGGCCCUAGGGUUGUAAAGCUCUUUCACCGGAGAAGAUAAUGACGGUAUCCGGAGAAGAAGCCCCGGCUAACUUCGUGCCAGCAGCCGCGGUAAUACGAAGGGGGCUAGCGUUGUUCGGAAUUACUGGGCGUAAAGCGCACGUAGGCGGAUCGAUCAGUCAGGGGUGAAAUCCCAGGGCUCAACCCUGGAACUGCCUUUGAUACUGUCGAUCUGGAGUAUGGAAGAGGUGAGUGGAAUUCCGAGUGUAGAGGUGAAAUUCGUAGAUAUUCGGAGGAACACCAGUGGCGAAGGCGGCUCACUGGUCCAUUACUGACGCUGAGGUGCGAAAGCGUGGGGAGCAAACAGGAUUAGAAACCCCAGUAGUCCCAU